rnacentral:rRNA from 1 species
GACGAACGCUGGCGGCGUGCUUAACACAUGCAAGUCGAACGGUAAGGCCCUUCGGGGUACACGAGUGGCGAACGGGUGAGUAACACGGGGGUGAUCUGCCCUGCACUUCGGGAUAAGCCCGGGAAACAGGGUCUAAUACCGGAUAGGACUACUGCAUGCAUGGGUGGGGGUGGAAAGCCUUUGCGGUGUGGGAUGGGCCCGCGGCCUAUCAGCUUGUUUGUGGGGUGAUGGCCUGCCAAGGCGACGACGGGUAGCCGGCCUGAGAGGGUGACCGGCCACACUGGGACUGGGAUACGGCCCAGACUCCUACGGGAGGCAGCAGUGGGGAAUAUUGCACAAUGGGCGCAAGCCUGAUGCAGCGACGCCGCGUGAGGGAUGACGGCCUUCGGGUUGUAAACCUCUUUCAGCACAGACGAAGCGCAAGUGACGGUAUGUGCAGAAGAAGGACCGGCCAACUACGUGCCAGCCGCCGCAGUAA